UUAAGCGACUAAGCGUACACGGUGGAUGCCCUGGCAGUCAGAGGCGAUGAAGGACGUGCUAAUCUGCGAUAAGCGUCGGUAAGGUGAUAUGAACCGUUAUAACCGGCGAUUUCCGAAUGGGGAAACCCAGUGUGUUUCGACACACUAUCAUUAACUGAAUCCAUAGGUUAAUGAGGCGAACCGGGGGAACUGAAACAUCUAAGUACCCCGAGGAAAAGAAAUCAACCGAGAUUCCCCCAGUAGCGGCGAGCGAACGGGGAGCAGCCCAGAGCCUGAAUCAGUGUGUGUGUUAGUGGAAGCGUCUGGAAAGGCGCGCGAUACAGGGUGACAGCCCCGUACACAAAAAUGCACAUGCUGUGAGCUCGAUGAGUAGGGCGGGACACGUGGUAUCCUGUCUGAAUAUGGGGGGACCAUCCUCCAAGGCUAAAUACUCCUGACUGACCGAUAGUGAACCAGUACCGUGAGGGAAAGGCGAAAAGAACCCCGGCGAGGGGAGUGAAAAAGAACCUGAAACCGUGUACGUACAAGCAGUGGGAGCACGCUUAGGCGUGUGACUGCGUACCUUUUGUAUAAUGGGUCAGCGACUUAUAUUCUGUAGCAAGGUUAACCGAAUAGGGGAGCCGAAGGGAAACCGAGUCUUAACUGGGCGUUAAGUUGCAGGGUAUAGACCCGAAACCCGGUGAUCUAGCCAUGGGCAGGUUGAAGGUUGGGUAACACUAACUGGAGGACCGAACCGACUAAUGUUGAAAAAUUAGCGGAUGACUUGUGGCUGGGGGUGAAAGGCCAAUCAAACCGGGAGAUAGCUGGUUCUCCCGAAAGCUAUUUAGGUAGCGCCUCGUGAAUUCAUCUCCGGGGGUAGAGCACUGUUUCGGCAAGGGGGUCAUCCCGACUUACCAACCCGAUGCAAACUGCGAAUACCGGAGAUGUUAUCACGGGAGACACACGGCGGGUGCUAACGUCCGUCGUGAAGAGGGAAACAACCCAGACCGCCAGCUAAGGUCCCAAAGUCAUGGUUAAGUGGGAAACGAUGUGGGAAGGCCCAGACAGCCAGGAUGUUGGCUUAGAAGCAGCCAUCAUUUAAAGAAAGCGUAAUAGCUCACUGGUCGAGUCGGCCUGCGCGGAAGAUGUAACGGGGCUAAACCAUGCACCGAAGCUGCGGCAGCGACGCUGAUGCGUUGUUGGGUAGGGGAGCGUUCUGUAAGCCUGCGAAGGUGUGCUGUGAGGCAUGCUGGAGGUAUCAGAAGUGCGAAUGCUGACAUAAGUAACGAUAAAGCGGGUGAAAAGCCCGCUCGCCGGAAGACCAAGGGUUCCUGUCCAACGUUAAUCGGGGCAGGGUGAGUCGACCCCUAAGGCGAGGCCGAAAGGCGUAGUCGAUGGGAAACAGGUUAAUAUUCCUGUACUUGGUGUUACUGCGAAGGGGGGACGGAGAAGGCUAUGUUGGCCGGGCGACGGUUGUCCCGGUUUAAGCGUGUAGGCUGGUUUUCCAGGCAAAUCCGGAAAAUCAAGGCUGAGGCGUGAUGACGAGGCACUACGGUGCUGAAGCAACAAAUGCCCUGCUUCCAGGAAAAGCCUCUAAGCAUCAGGUAACAUCAAAUCGUACCCCAAACCGACACAGGUGGUCAGGUAGAGAAUACCAAGGCGCUUGAGAGAACUCGGGUGAAGGAACUAGGCAAAAUGGUGCCGUAACUUCGGGAGAAGGCACGCUGAUAUGUAGGUGAAGUCCCUUGCGGAUGGAGCUGAAAUCAGUCGAAGAUACCAGCUGGCUGCAACUGUUUAUUAAAAACACAGCACUGUGCAAACACGAAAGUGGACGUAUACGGUGUGACGCCUGCCCGGUGCCGGAAGGUUAAUUGAUGGGGUCAGCGCAAGCGAAGCUCUUGAUCGAAGCCCCGGUAAACGGCGGCCGUAACUAUAACGGUCCUAAGGUAGCGAAAUUCCUUGUCGGGUAAGUUCCGACCUGCACGAAUGGCGUAAUGAUGGCCAGGCUGUCUCCACCCGAGACUCAGUGAAAUUGAACUCGCUGUGAAGAUGCAGUGUACCCGCGGCAAGACGGAAAGACCCCGUGAACCUUUACUAUAGCUUGACACUGAACAUUGAGCCUUGAUGUGUAGGAUAGGUGGGAGGCUUUGAAGUGUGGACGCCAGUCUGCAUGGAGCCGACCUUGAAAUACCACCCUUUAAUGUUUGAUGUUCUAACGUGGACCCGUGAUCCGGGUUGCGGACAGUGUCUGGUGGGUAGUUUGACUGGGGCGGUCUCCUCCUAAAGAGUAACGGAGGAGCACGAAGGUUGGCUAAUCCUGGUCGGACAUCAGGAGGUUAGUGCAAUGGCAUAAGCCAGCUUGACUGCGAGCGUGACGGCGCGAGCAGGUGCGAAAGCAGGUCAUAGUGAUCCGGUGGUUCUGAAUGGAAGGGCCAUCGCUCAACGGAUAAAAGGUACUCCGGGGAUAACAGGCUGAUACCGCCCAAGAGUUCAUAUCGACGGCGGUGUUUGGCACCUCGAUGUCGGCUCAUCACAUCCUGGGGCUGAAGUAGGUCCCAAGGGUAUGGCUGUUCGCCAUUUAAAGUGGUACGCGAGCUGGGUUUAGAACGUCGUGAGACAGUUCGGUCCCUAUCUGCCGUGGGCGCUGGAGAACUGAGGGGGGCUGCUCCUAGUACGAGAGGACCGGAGUGGACGCAUCACUGGUGUUCGGGUUGUCAUGCCAAUGGCACUGCCCGGUAGCUAAAUGCGGAAGAGAUAAGUGCUGAAAGCAUCUAAGCACGAAACUUGCCCCGAGAUGAGUUCUCCCUGACUCCUUGAGAGUCCUGAAGGAACGUUGAAGACGACGACGUUGAUAGGCCGGGUGUGUAAGCGCAGCGAUGCGUUGAGCUAACCGGUACUAAUGAACCGUGAGGCUUAACCUU
rnacentral:rRNA from 1 species